ACAUGAUAAGUCCAGAGGUAUUUCUGCACAAUUAAUCGAUCCAUUCCUAGUUGGAAGAGAGCGGGUACAAGUGUUGCUCUGCUACACUGAGAGAAGAGGUCUCUAUACACUUUUAAGGGCUGUUGUGCUUGGUCAGGGACUUGAACCUGAUGGUUGUAUCUGACAUUCAAAUAUAUUUGGAAAAUCUUAUCAAUCGUGGGCUUAGACAGAGGUUAAUAUUAGAGAUAUAAGGAAAAUUGCUGCUCAUCAUUUCAGCUUCAGAUUAUAAAUCGAAAACUUCCCCUUGAGAUGAUGAUUAUGCUACCAAUUGCUUCUGACGUUUAUGUAUUGCUGAGAUUAUCAAAGGCAACUUAUUGUUACUCUUCUGCCAAUCUUCUUCCAUCACUUCACAAAAGUAUUUAUCAAUUUUCAAAAAGGAAUCUUCUUCUAUCAUUGAUAUGGAACUUAAUCGAGAAGAACCAGCUGGCAUGGCCUGGGUGGGCCUCAUUCUGAACGAUAUGUUCUCGAUUCUAGAGGUGCUCUUGUUGUACGACAAGCUGUGAAGGCUCAUACUUGGACAUUGCCUCGUUUUUUCUAUUCUGGUUGUGCAGACAAAUUACAUUCAGUCUUCUUUUUUCUUUCGUGAUCGCUUUCGUACCAGACACUCAGAGUGCAGCACCUGAUAAAGCAUCUGUCCUGUCCCGGGUGCCUCCAUUCGACAUAAA